rnacentral:rRNA from 1 species
GUGGGGAAUAUUGGACAAUGGGCGAAAGCCUGAUCCAGCCAUGCCGCGUGUGUGAAGAAGGUCUUCGGAUUGUAAAGCACUUUAAGUUGGGAGGAAGGGCAGUAAGCUAAUACCUUGCUGUUUUGACGUUACCGACAGAAUAAGCACCGGCUAACUUCGUGCCAGCAGCCGCGGUAAUACGAAGGGUGCAAGCGUUAAUCGGAAUUACUGGGCGUAAAGCGCGCGUAGGUGGUUUUGUAAGUUGAAGGUGAAAUCCCCGGGCUCAACCUGGGAACUGCCUCCAAAACUGCAUGACUAGAGUACGGUAGAGGGUAGUGGAAUUUCCUGUGUAGCGGUGAAAUGCGUAGAUAUAGGAAGGAACACCAGUGGCGAAGGCGUCUACCUGGACUGAUACUGACACUGAGGUGCGAAAGCGUGGGGAGCAAACAGGAUUAGAUACCCUUGUAGUCC